CACACACACACACACACACACACACACACACACACACGGUUUUCAAGAUAGGGUUUCUCUGCUAUGUAGCCCUAGCUAUCAUGGAACUCACUUCAUAGACCAGGCUGGUCUCGAACUUAAGAGAUCCAGCUGUCUCUGGCUCCUGAGUGCUGAGAUUAAAAGCAUGCGUCACCACUCCCUGACUUUGAGGAUAGAGUCAUAGCUUCUAUCUCAAUUCCUGACACUCAGGUGACCAGAGUUAUCCAGUUAAAGAAGGGUGACAGCCACAUUUCAGCUGUGUGCACUGACACACCGUCUCAGACCUUUACCUUACCUCAGACAGACAGGCCUGCACCAGAGCAGAAGACUCUUCAGGCGGGACGACCUUACUCAGGAGAUGGACCUGGCCUGUCUCUUUUCAGGUGAGAAACCAACCAAGAAGGAGCUCAACUCUCAAAACCCUGUGUCCUGGAAAGUUCUGAACUGGUCCUAUGUGUUUAGGGGAUCUGAACUCAUCAAGGGGUCCUCUUUUCCGUU
rnacentral:lncRNA from 1 species